rnacentral:rRNA from 1 species
UACGAAGGGGGCUAGCGUUGCUCGGAAUCACUGGGCGUAAAGCGCACGUAGGCGGACUCUUAAGUCGGUGGUGAAAUCCUUGAGCUCAACUCCAGAACUGCCUCCGAUACUGGGAGCCUUCGAGUCCGGGAGAGGUGAGUGGAACUGCGAGUGUAGAGGUGAAAUUCGUAGAUAUUCGCAAGAACACCAGUGGCGAAGGCGGCUCACUGGCCCGGUACUGACGCUGAGGUGCGAAAGCGUGGGGAGCAAACAGU